CGUCGUGGGGAUCUGUCAUCCCCUUCAAAACAACUUCAAUUUAUCCCGCUGUCAAUCAUCGGGAGAAGGACAGUCCGCACUGCCUUACCUAGCGAUAAUUAAGUGUUUUGGGACCAUGUGGGGCAUUUAUAAAAGAUGGAGCAACUUAUUCUCACUGCCAUACCGCCCGAAAUGGAAAUACUGGUUAUGCUUUUAUCAGACGAGGCAUAAACGUUUUCUGUGGGGUAAACUGUGAGGCUCCUUUGGGCCAUUAGAGGACUUCUGGCGCAGUAACAGGUGACGAACACGGGGAACAACUUAAACGAUCGGCCAUCAUCGAGCAACAGAUGGAGGUGCACAACAGGAUAUUACCACUAAGAGGAUUCCUCUUUCCUUGCCUGUCACUCUGGACUUUUUUUGAGGGGACAGACUCUUUCAUCGUGACCCAGCUCGACUGGCUUACUGGAACUGGUGUAGAGUUGUUGGUUAAGCCCUCUGAAACCCGCCACUACUCAUGUUGACCUGCUUGGCAAACAGAAAUCCCCGAUCAAGUCUGCUGUGAAUAACAUUAAAAUAAGUAACCAGGUGGGAUUAGAAAGUCCUCAUAGAGUCUUGAGUCUCUGAACUCUGACCUUCCACUCAGAACUGAGAAGUAUGUGCCAGCUCUCAGUGAGUGAAUGGCCUGGUGUCAAGUUUACUCAGCAGUACUAUAGUAAUACCCUUAGAGGAGGCGGCAUGCUGUUAGGAUUUCAUUUGUAGGGAUUAUGGUAAAGUGAUUUUUUUUAACGCAAACAACAUAUUACAGUCAGAGUUAAAGAUAAUUUUGUUACUUACAAAGAUUUGAGUGAAUUAAGUAAAAAUCUAUUUAUUUUUAUAUUUUCUAUCGUAUCUGGAGGUGAGCGGUGUCUCCCAGUAAUGGAUAUGGACACCAUCUUCGAUAUUUUCCAGCCACCACAGUCUUGAUAACAUCAUGACAACUGAGUGAUGAAACAGCUGUGUAGACAUGAAAUCUAAUGAUUAUGAAAAAGGAUUUAUUGAAAGCAUUUUGGUGGUAUGUAGUGCUUCGGUAGUUGCAGGGUUCUUAAAAAAUAAUGUAAGAUUUGAUGAGGUUGUAACAAGUACAAGUAAGUAAUAGUCUGUGAUUGUGUUGAGUUGCACUUUGUUGCAUUUAGGUCACUUUAUUUGAACUUUUUCUGUAUGCUGGAGGUUAGUUGUGGUAUUUUUGAUGUGUCAAACAUCUUGAUAAUGUACUUUAAAUAGAUGCAGGUGCUUCAGUCAUACAGGAUUCGCUUUUUAUCAGAGUACAGAAGGAGUGCCCAGUCUUUGGGAAUACGAGACUGCAUGGAAAGCAAAAAAGAUUCAGGGCGGCAACUUGAUUCCUUCUAUAAACUUUACUGUGCCAAUGCAUUUCAAAGAACUGCCUCUUUCCUCGGGGUGCAUAAAGCAUAUUGACCCUAGUAGUAUGACUAUCACUAUGCACUACCCUCGCAGGUGAAAGUGAUUGAGGUUGCCUGGCCACAGUUUACAUUAGGGUUGUGAGUUUGGUUCAUUCAUGUUUUGUAUGAGGAAGGAGACUCUGAAAGGCUUUGGCACAACAUAAUACACUUUUAUUGAAGGGCUCAAAUUGCAAUCCUUGAUGUUUUUUUACUUUCCAGGCGGUCUUUAAAGUGGUGUUGCAUAAUGCACCUGUUUUAUAAAUCGAUUGCAGUCGUGAUGGUAGUCUUUUGAGCUUUCUCAUGAUUGUUUUUUUUUUUUACAUCGGCAUGGUUGUGGGGAAUAUAUUUUUAUGUUUUUUCUAAAUUGUAUUGCUAUUAAAUGGCACCUUGUUUUACAGUCAUGUAUAUUUUAUGAGAGGAUAUCCAAUAUACCGUAUGGUUUUGCUUGCAUUACUGGUUUUGAGUUCUUGUGCUCACAUUACAAAUUAAAAGAAAUAUUCAGAGUAGUGUGGUAAUUCAGACUAUCACAGGAGUUUUUACAGUCAUUUCCUAUUUAAUUUUAUAUUUGAAUUUUAUAAGUGAAAGUUUUGCCUCUCUGAAUCCAUUAGUAUAUUACUUGUGUGUAUUAACAUCAAUAUUUUUCAAGCCAUGUUGUGUAAGUGAUUUUAUAUGACGACUGGACUGUAAAGGUAACACAUGCACCAUUCAAGAAAGAUCUAAUAAAAAUCCUGCAGUCAUU